GACGAGCGCUGGCGGCGUGCUUAACACAUGCAAGUCGAACGGAAAGGCCCUGCUUUUGUGGGGUGCUCGAGUGGCGAACGGGUGAGUAACACGUGAGUAACCUGCCCUUGACUUUGGGAUAACUUCAGGAAACUGGGGCUAAUACCGGAUAGGAGCUCCUGCAGCAUGGUGGGGGUUGGAAAGUUUCGGCGGUUGGGGGUGGACUCGCGGCUUAUCAGCUUGCUGGUGGGGUAGUGGCUUACCAAGGCUUUGACGCGUAGCCGGCCUGAGAGGGUGACCGGCCACAUUGGGACUGAGAUACGGCCCAGACUCCUACGGGAGGCAGCAGUGGGGAAUAUUGUACAAUGGGCGGAAGCCUGAUGCAGCAACGCCGCGUGCGGGAAGACGGCCAUCGGUUUGUAAUCCGCUUUCGCCUGUGACGAAGCGUGAGUGACGGUAAUGGGUAAAGAAGCACCGGCUAACUACGUG
rnacentral:rRNA from 1 species